CUGCCCUGUUGCGCUUCUGUAGUUCUGUUGCUGUGGACGCCGGUUACUCAUUCGCCAGGGCCAGUUUUCAUAAGUUGCUAGAAAUACUAUUGCGGUCACCAAAAUAUGCUGGAUAUGUGGGUGGAGACACAUGCAGUGUAAUAGCAAUGCAAUGUCCACACAUAGAAGUCACAGUUGUAGACAUAUAUGUUCAUCGUAUUUCACAGUGGAACUCUGGAAAAUUGCCCAUCUACAAACCCAGACUCUAUGACAUUGUAAAAAACAGAGAAAUGUAAACUUGUUCUUUUCUACAAACAUCGAAGAAGCUAUCCAAGAAGCAGAUUUAAUUUUAAUUCCUGUUAAUACCCCUACAAAGACAUUUGGAGUAGGCAAAGGACGUGCCGCCAACCUAACAUACGUUGAAAAUUGUGCUAGGAUUAUUGCCCAAAUUUCAACAAGUGAUCAAAUUGUAGUGAAAAAGAGUACAGUACCAUUAUGUGCAGCGGAGAGCAUAUUAAAAAUUUUAAG